UACGUAGGGUGCUAGCGUUGUUCGGAAUCAUUGGGCGUAAAGCGCGUGUAGGCGGUCAAUUAAGUCGGGUGUGAAAUCCCUCGGCUCAACCGGGGAAGUGCAUUCGAAACUAAUUGGCUGGAGAGUGGUAGAGGAAGGUGGAAUUCCAAGUGUAGAGGUGAAAUUCGUAGAUAUUUGGAGGAAUACCGGCGGCGAAGGCGGCCUCUGGACCAUUUCUGACGCUGAGACGCGAAAGCGUGGGGAGCGAACAGG
rnacentral:rRNA from 1 species